UACGGGGGGUGCGAGCGUUGUCCGGAAUCACUGGGCGUAAAGAGCUCGUAGGCGGUCUGUUGCGUCGGCUGUGAAAACCCGGGGCUCAACCCCGGGCCUGCAGCCGAUACGGGCAGACUAGAGUUCGGCAGGGGAGACUGGAAUUCCUGGUGUAGCGGUGAAAUGCGCAGAUAUCGGGAGGAACACCUAUGGCGAAGGCAGCUCGCUGGGACGUUACUGACGCUGAGACGCGAAAGCGUGGGGAGCAAACAGG
rnacentral:rRNA from 1 species